CAGUCGCCGCGGGAAUACGAAGGGGGCUAGCGUUGUUCGGAAUCACUGGGCGUAAAGCGCACGUAGGCGGACUUUUAAGUCAGGGGUGAAAUCCCAAGGCUCAACCUUGGAACUGCCUUUGAUACUGGAAGUCUUGAGUUCGGGAGAGGUGAGUGGAACUGCGAGUGUAGAGGUGAAAUUCGUAGAUAUUCGCAAGAACACCAGUGGCGAAGGCGGCUCACUGGCCCGAUACUGACGCUGAGGUGCGAAAGCGUGGGGAGCAAACAGGAUUAGAUACCCGCGUAGUCCCUGUCUCUUAUAA
rnacentral:rRNA from 1 species